rnacentral:rRNA from 1 species
AGUGAACGCUGGCGGUAGGCCUAACACAUGCAAGUCGAACGGCAGCACAGUAAGAGCUUGCUCUUACGGGUGGCGAGUGGCGGACGGGUGAGGAAUACAUCGGAAUCUACUUUUUCGUGGGGGAUAACGUAGGGAAACUUACGCUAAUACCGCAUACGACCUACGGGUGAAAGCAGGGGAUCUUCGGACCUUGCGCGAUUGAAUGAGCCGAUGUCGGAUUAGCUAGUUGGCGGGGUAAAGGCCCACCAAGGCGACGAUCCGUAGCUGGUCUGAGAGGAUGAUCAGACACACUGGAACUGAGACACGGUCCAGACUCCUACGGGAGGCAGCAGUGGGGAAUAUUGGACAAUGGGCGCAAGCCUGAUCCAGCCAUACCGCGUGGGUGAAGAAGGCCUUCGGGUUGUAAAGCCCUUUUGUUGGGAAAGAAAAGCAGCAGGUUAAUAACCCGCUGUUCUGACGGUACCCAAAGAAUAAGCACCGGCUAACUUCGUG